AUACUUACCUGGUAGAGGAUAUACCAUGAUCAUGAAGGUGGUUUUCCCAGGGUGAGGAUUAUUCAUUACACACACAGGAUGUGCUGACCCCUGCAAUUUCCCCAAAUGUGGGAAACUCGACUGUAUAAUUUUGUUAGUGGGGGACUGUGUAUGCACUCUGCCUUU
ensembl:snRNA U1 U1 spliceosomal RNA